rnacentral:rRNA from 1 species
CCUACGGGUGGCAGCAGUCGAGAAUCAUUCACAAUGGGGGAAACCCUGAUGCUGCGACGCCGCGUGGGGGAAUGAAGGUCUUCGGAUUUUAAACCCCUGUCAUGUGGGAGCAAAUUAAAAAGAUAGUACCACAAGAGGAAGAGAGGACUAACUCUGUGCCAGCAGCCGCGGUAAUACAGAGGUCUCAAGCGUUGUUCGGAAUCACUGGGCGUAAAGCGUGCGUAGGCUGUUUCGUAAGUCGUGUGUGAAAGGCCCGGGCUCAACCCGAGAACGGCACAUGAUACUGGGAGACUAGAGUGAGGGAGGGGGAACCGGAAUUCCCGGUGUAGCAGUGAAAUGCGUAGAUAUCGAGAGGAACACUCGUGGCGAAGGCGGGUUCCUGGACCUUAACUGACGCUGAGGCACGAAGGCCAGGGGAGCGAAAGGGAUUAGAUACCCGGGUAGUC